rnacentral:rRNA from 1 species
CGACCCUUCCUGCAUCCUGCGGUCCUGCCACGCCCCACCUCACCGAGCGUCUCCGGCCACCCCCUGCCGCCGAGCGUCGCCCCCGCGCCUCUGCCUCACCUAGCGCCCGAUCCAGCCGUCGUUCAUCGCCAGCACACGUGGAUCCGGCCGCCCCUCGCCUUCCCCAUCGGCUGCACCUCCUAGCGCCACCGCCCCUGCCAUACUCCGCCGCUGGAGGAUCUCCGCCCUGCCUGGAUCCACAUCCCCGCGGCGACACCGGCAGUCGGCGACGAUGGACGACCACGGUGUAGUGCCCUUGGUCCUCGCCGUCCCCUUUCCUAUAUGCAAGUAAAAGCGACCAUGGUUCAGGCAUCUGUUGGUUAUUGAAAAAUCUGACAACCGCAAGAGAAUAAGAGCUGCAGACUCAGAGUGUAUGUGAUAUCCCUGCCAGAUUGCUACAGCAUAUUCAUGCAGGUGUUGAGGCAGGGAAAAGGCAGCAGUAGAGGCAUGGGCACUUCAGAAAAGGGUGUUGACUGUUCUGAUUGAGGCCAGUUGAAGGCUUCCACGUGCCACCUCCUUCGCCUCCUACGCCGCGUCGAGAAAGGCGGACACGUGCGGUAGGAGCCAAGGGGGAACAGGGAAAGGCGGACACGAGAUUCGUGAACCCAGAGAAGAGAAUGUAUGCGAGCUUGUCCACCUCGGCGGUGUCAGCCGCCAGUGCCACCGUGUCCCGCCUCCGCCUGGCCUGGUCGCAACAAAAGUAUGACUGCAGGUGUGGUCCAUUCAGUUUUGAAGUUUGAUUUACUUGCUUGUGCAUGUGUGUG